GACGAACGCUGGCGGCGUGCCUAACACAUGCAAGUCGAGCGAAUGAAGUUCCUUCGGGAACGGAUUUAGCGGCGGACGGGUGAGUAACACGUGGGCAACCUGCCUCAUAGAGGGGAAUAGCCUUCCGAAAGGGAGAUUAAUACCGCAUAAGAUUGUAGUAUCGCAUGGUACAGCAAUUAAAGGAGCAAUCCGCUAUGAGAUGGGCCCGCGGCGCAUUAGCUAGUUGGUGAGGUAACGGCUCACCAAAGCGACGAUGCGUAGCCGACCUGAGAGGGUGAUCGGCCACAUUGGGACUGAGACGGCCCAGACUCCUACGGGAGGCGGCAGUGGGGAAUAUUGCACAAUGGGGGAAACCCUGAUGCAGCAACGCCGCGUGAGUGAUGACGGCCUUCGGGUUGUAAAGCUCUGUCUUCAGGGACGAUAAUGACGGUACCUGAGGAGGAAGCCACGGCUAACUACGUGCCAGCCGCCGCCGUAAAAC
rnacentral:rRNA from 1 species